UAGGGAAUCUUCGGCAAUGGACGAAAGUCUGACCGAGCAACGCCGCGUGAGUGAAGAAGGUCUUCGGAUCGUAAAACUCUGUUGUUAGAGAAGAACAAGGACGUUAGUAACUGAACGUCCCCUGACGGUAUCUAACCAGAAAGCCACGGCUAACUACGUGCCAGCAGCCGCGGUAAUACGUAGGUGGCUAGCGUUGUCCGGAUUUAUUGGGCGUAAAGCGAGCGCAGGCGGUUUCUUAAGUCUGAUGUGAAAGCCCCCGGCUCAACCGGGGAGGGUCAUUGGAAACUGGGGGACUUGAGGGCAAAAGAGGAGAGUGGAAUUCCAUGUGUAGCGGUGAAAUGAGUAGAUAUAUGGAGGAACACGAGUGGCGAAGGCGGCUCUCUGGUCUGUAACUGACGCUGAGGCUCGAAAGCGUGGGGAGCAAACAGG
rnacentral:rRNA from 1 species